AGAGUUUGAUCCUGGCUCAGGACGAACGCUGGCGGCGUGCUUAACACAUGCAAGUCGAACGAUGAUCCGGUGCUUGCACCGGGGAUUAGUGGCGAACGGGUGAGUAACACGUGAGUAACCUGCCCUUGACUCUGGGAUAAGCCUGGGAAACCGGGUCUAAUACCGGAUACGACCUUUCACCGCAUGGUGGUUGGUGGAAAGAUUUUUUGGUUUUGGAUGGACUCGCGGCCUAUCAGCUUGUUGGUGAGGUAAUGGCUCACCAAGGCGACGACGGGUAGCCGGCCUGAGAGGGUGACCGGCCACACUGGGACUGAGACACGGCCCAGACUCCUACGGGAGGCAGCAGUGGGGAAUAUUGCACAAUGGGCGAAAGCCUGAUGCAGCGACGCCGCGUGAGGGAUGACGGCCUUCGGGUUGUAAACCUCUUUCAGCAGGGAAGAAGCGAAAGUGACGGUACCUGCAGAAGAAGCGCCGGCUAACUACGUGCCAGCAGCCGCGGUAAUACGUAGGGCGCAAGCGUUGUCCGGAAUUAUUGGGCGUAAAGAGCUCGUAGGCGGUUUGUCGCGUCUGCUGUGAAAGCCCGGGGCUCAACCCCGGGUCUGCAGUGGGUACGGGCAGACUAGAGUGCAGUAGGGGAGACUGGAAUUCCUGGUGUAGCGGUGAAAUGCGCAGAUAUCAGGAGGAACACCGAUGGCGAAGGCAGGUCUCUGGGCUGUAACUGACGCUAAGGAGCGAAAGCAUGGGGAGCGAACAGGAUUAGAUACCCUGAUAGUCCAUGCCGUAAACGUUGGGCACUAGGUGUGGGGGACAUUCCACGUUUUCCGCGCCGUAGCUAACGCAUUAAGUGCCCCGCCUGGGGAGUACGGCCGCAAGGCUAAAACUCAAAUGAAUUGACGG
rnacentral:rRNA from 1 species